UUUACCAACAAACUCUCUGUGUAAUGGAAAGGAAGGGUUGAGUCAGUGAAUUAUUCUUCUGUUUUGAGCUUUUGUAUGGGAUUUUUAAUGCCAAAGCUGUGUUUCCUGGAUAAAGCCCUUGGUGGAAAUUUGAAGCCUGUUUUAAAUUUCUUGUAUCUCUUUCAGUGUUUCUGUAAAAUGCUAACAAUGAAAUCUGAAGAAGUUUAAUGCCUCCAUUAACUUUUGGAUUCAUUAUUGGACUUUUGCAAAAAAAGUUAUUGGCAUUAUAUCUUUUAGUCUGAAAGUAUUAUGCAGUACGACAAAGUGCAUUUAAAGUGAAUUGUACAGUAUUCAAUUGAACUUUUGCAAAAAAGUGACUGUCGGUAUCUUAAUUUUAAUCUAAAAAGUACUAAGUGCUUUUUGAGUGAAUUGUAUGGUAUUUGACUGGGGACAAUUCAUGGACUGUGUUCAAAAUUAUAGACUUGAGUAGAAAACAAGUGCUGGUACUAGUUUACCUAAAAGUCUUUGCAGUACUAAGUACCUUUUAGGUGAAUUGUGCAGUAAUUGAUUUGGACUAUUCAUGGACUGUGGUGAAAACUAUAGAUUUGAGUAGAAAACAGGAACCAGUACGAGUUAAUCUAAAAGUAUAAAAGUAUUUGCAGUACCAAGUACAUUAUAAGUGAGUUGUAUAUAUUCAAUUGGGGACUAUUCACAUGGACUGUGUUGAAAACUAUUGUAGAUUAGGGUAGAAAACAAGAACCAGCACUAGUUAAUCGAAAAGUCUUUGCGGUACCAAGUACCUUUUAAGUGAAUUGUAUUUGAUUGGGGACUAUUCAUGGACUGUAUUGAAGACUAUAGAGACUAGAAAGUAGAAAACCAGUGCCUCGACUGAUGCACCAUGGCAGUGAUGUACUUGGCCUCUCUGGUCAAUUCAAGGCUGAUCGAUUGGAGACAGGUAUAGGGGAAUUAUGAUGGACAACUUGGUCAUGUGAUUACUAGAAUACUCUUUAUGGUUAUGUUGUGCAUAUGUUUAAUGGCGGUAACUGUCCCUCUUAAUUUAUCAAUGUUGACACUAUCGGCUCUUCUUUUGUUGCUGUCAUUUUUGUAAAUCUGUUACUUAGGCACACCUAUGAUGUUCACUCCAUCAUCACACGUUGUUUCAAAUUUGUUGUGUUUUUUUUUUUUCUGUACUUCAUGCAAUGGGCGUAAAAAAUGAUAACAUUCAAUUUAUUAAGCACAAAAUGGUAAAUACAUAACAAAAAGUCUUUCUUUAUUUCUGCUCACACAGAGAUGAAAGCUUUAUGUAUAAGGUUAACUCAAACUACCAUAGGCCUAAUUGGUCAAGUUCUGUGUAAUCAUGAAGACCACAAGUAUAUAAAAAUUGACAUUAUAUUCCUUAAGACAACAACAAUAGAAUGAAUAGGUUUU
rnacentral:sRNA from 1 species